rnacentral:rRNA from 1 species
GACGAACGCUGGCGGCGUGCUUAACACAUGCAAGUCGAGCGGAAAGGCCCUUCGGGGUACUCGAGCGGCGAACGGGUGAGUAACACGUGAGUAACCUGCCCCAGACUUUGGGAUAACCCUCGGAAACGGGGGCUAAUACCGGAUACGACACAGCUUCGCAUGGGGUCUGUGUGGAAAGUUUUUCGGUUUGGGAUGGGCUCGCGGCCUAUCAGCUUGUUGGUGGGGUGAUGGCCUACCAAGGCGACGACGGGUAGCCGGCCUGAGAGGGCGACCGGCCACGCUGGGACUGAGACACGGCCCAGACUCCUACGGGAGGCAGCAGUGGGGAAUAUUGCACAAUGGGCGGAAGCCUGAUGCAGCGACGCCGCGUGAGGGAUGACGGCCUUCGGGUUGUAAACCUCUUUCAGCAGGGACGAAGCGUAAGUGACGGUACCUGCAGAAGAAGCGCCGGCCAACUACGUG